rnacentral:lncRNA from 1 species
GUGGUUGUGGCAGCGACAGCGAUGGAGACUGCAGCUCGACAGGAAUGGAGAUGGAAUCCGGAGGAUGGCUGCAGCAAUGCGGAUGUAGGAGACCAAGAUGAGUGCACAGGGAGCCAGGAACAGGACCACAGCCCCCAGGAACACAUGCUGAUUGUCAUGUAUGUGAGCAGGCAAUCUUCAUGAGCAGGUCAAAGAAAACAAUUAUCGGGGACAUGGGGAUAGUGUGGACCAGCUUUGUUGGCAUCCAAGUAAUCCUGACCUAUUUGUUACGGCGUCCGGAGAUAAAACCAUUCGCAUCUGGGAUGUGAGGACUACAAAAUGCAUUGCCACUGUGAACACUAAAGGGGAGAACAUUAAUAUCUGCUGGAGUCCUGAUGGGCAGACCAUUGCUGUAGGCAACAAGGAUGAUGUGGUGACCUUUAUUGAUGCCAAGACACACCGUUCCAAAGCAGAAGAGCAGUUCAAGUUCGAGGUCAACGAAAUCUCCUGGAACAAUGACAAUAAUAUGUUCUUCCUGACAAAUGGCAAUGGUUGUAUCAACAUCCUCAGCUACCCAGAACUGAAGCCUGUGCAGUCCAUCAACGCCCAUCCUUCCAACUGCAUCUGUAUCAAGUUUGACCCCAUGGGGAAGUACUUUGCCACAGGAAGUGCAGAUGCUUUGGUCAGCCUCUGGGAUGUGGAUGAGUUAGUGUGUGUUCGGUGCUUUUCCAGGCUGGAUUGGCCUGUAAGAACCCUCAGUUUCAGCCAUGAUGGGAAAAUGCUGGCGUCAGCAUCGGAAGAUCAUUUUAUUGACAUUGCUGAAGUGGAGACAGGGGACAAACUAUGGGAGGUACAGUGUGAGUCUCCGACCUUCACAGUGGCAUGGCACCCCAAAAGGCCUCUGCUGGCAUUUGCCUGUGAUGACAAAGACGGCAAAUAUGACAGCAGCCGGGAAGCCGGAACUGUGAAGCUGUUUGGGCUUCCUAAUGAUUCUUGAGAGGAGGUUGUAGGGAGAGGAGGCCCCGGCAGAGGUCUUCCUUCAUGUGGUUAGUUUGGUCUGUUCUCUCGGAGUUGGUGGGCACCCUAAAUAUUUGUAAGUUGGUAUAAAUUGUAAACGUCUCUGGUCAGGCUGCGCAUUUCGUUCUUUUGCUUUGUCUGUGUAUUAGCUCUUUCCAUUCUUUGCCCCCAGCAUGAGUUAACUCGCGUGGACUCUGCAGUGCGAGUAGUGACCCCAGCAUACCUUGUCCUCUGGACCUCCUGUCUUCUCUGCUUCUGGGUGCAUGGUAGACUUUGUGGCAUUUGAUACAACUUGGACAAUACCUAGUUUGGAGGGAGGGGAAUGGAAGGGCAUGGAAGUUUUUUUAAAUAAUUAAAAAAAUAUAUAUAUAAUUUUGAGAAUUGAGCAUUUAAUAAACUGACUUUUGUUAUUAUGGAA